ACCUUGUGAUUCCGGCCAUGAAAGCCUUUGACAACACAUUAACUGCGUCAGCUUUGUCUUCGCUCUCUAACCUGUGAAGGUCCUUUCAGACCCUGAUCCUGUCCUCUGGGGUUCUGUACUGCUUUCAAGCCAAGGGUCACCCACUCUUUUCUUCCCUGGACAGAGAGCCAUUUGGUUUCCCUCGAUAAAUACAACAAGUGGAGCAGAGCACUCAAUGGGGAAAAGGCCGGCAUUGUCAGGCGCGGGAUGCUCUGUUCUUUCCUGAAGGAUGUUUCCUCCCAAAGGACAAUGAGGUCUUUGUUGAGAAAACGUCUCUUUUUGUCGUUCUUGUUCCAUUGUCGAGCCGAUUAGUCUGGUAAAGCUGCUCCCUUUAUCAAUUAAUAACUGUGGCAAGUCAAGCUUGGCUUUCUGCCGGCGUCAUUAUUAUUAUUAAUGCUUCAAAACCCCGACACCUAAAUCCCGUGGGCAUUUUCAGAAGCGGAGCCUGCACGGAGAGGACUGCAGACCGUCCGUUUUGAGAGAGGAGCGCAAACCUAUUCUGGGACCCGCAAGGAGGUUUCCGCGCCUAUGAAUCACCGCUAAUGGGAGCAACGCUGGGCGCUUCGGAGGCAGACCCAGCCGCCUGCAAGACUUUGAUCCCAACGUCCUCCGCUGCCAAGCAGCACCCGUCAACGUGCUUUGUGCCAACCGAGAGAGACAGGCGUCUCCUUUGAACGUUCUGCACAUCCGAGCAGCCUUUCUUCGCCGCGCCUUGCAUGAGGAAGGAGCCUUUAUCCUCGUCUGCAGGAGGCAGGUUAUUGAGUUGCUAAAGGCAGGAAACACCCAGGGACACAUUUGGCCUUUUCAUUCAUUCACCGCAAGGUAAAGGCCAGGUGAGAUCAAUGCCGCUUCCUCUUUCUGCAGAGCCAAGGAGACGUCCAUCCACUCUCAUUGACCGGACUUCCCAAGGCCGGCCUCGCCUCGCUUGACCGGUCAGCCGAGAGGAAGCCAGGGAAGGAAAAACCCUUGCCUGGACUUUAUUCCACCCAGUUCGAUCACAUUCAUUAUUUUCCAUAAUGUGUCAGGAGAGAAAAGGAGAAUUCUGCAUCUUGACAAGGAGUCAAUAUCUCUCUCUCUCUCCUACACACCAUUCCUCAUUUUCUGUCUGAAUUAACUCAUUUUGUAACCUGUGUUUAAGGGAAGGGGGUGGCUCCUGUGAUUUCCUCAAGUUUUUCUCAUUCCUGAAUGGCUGUUCAGCUUGAAAGGUAUUGUAUAUAUCUAUAUACAUAAAAGUCAAUAUAUAUAGUUUG